AAUGUUGGACCGACGACACAAGACCUCAGACUUGUGUUAUUCUAGCAGCUGAACACACCUCAGGCUCUUCCGACCGGCAGUGGCUCUGGAAGCAGUCUGGUCUAUAGAGUUAUGGAUUCACUACCAGAUUCUACUGUAUGCUCUGACAACUAUGACCACAAUGGUCCACCCACAAAUGAAUUAUCAGGAGUGAACCCAGAGGCACGUAUGAAUGAAAGGU